rnacentral:tRNA from 1 species
UGGGGUGUAGCUCAACUGGCAGAGCACCGCACUGUUAAUGCGAUGGUUGGUGGUUCGAUUCCACCCGCUCCAG